UGUGAUUAUAGCAAGAAGUACAUCCAGGGAAAACUGUCACUUAUUUCUUCUUUAACUUAUGGUGGAAACAGAACAGCUGUUUUGAAGAUUGCCCUACAAGAACAAGAAAAUUCAAAUUCAGAGAUCAACACCAUCAAUGUAUUAUUUUUUGGAAAAUUAGCAAAGGACUGUGCAAAAGUUUUCUAUG